rnacentral:rRNA from 1 species
AUGGGCGGAAGCCUGAUGCAGCAACGCCGCGUGAGGGAUGACGGCCUUCGGGUUGUAAACCUCUUUUAGCAGGGAAGAAGCGAAAGUGACGGUACCUGCAGAAAAAGCGCCGGCUAACUACGUGCCAGCAGCCGCGGUAAUACGUAGGGCGCAAGCGUUAUCCGGAAUUAUUGGGCGUAAAGAGCUCGUAGGCGGUUUGUCGCGUCUGCUGUGAAAUCCCGAGGCUCAACCUCGGGCCUGCAGUGGGUACGGGCAGACUAGAGUGCGGUAGGGGAGAUUGGAAUUCCUGGUGUAGCGGUGGAAUGCGCAGAUAUCAGGAGGAACACCGAUGGCGAAGGCAGAUCUCUGGGCCGUAACUGACGCUGAGGAGCGAAAGGGUGGGGAGCAAACAGGCUUAGAUACCCUGGUAGUCCACCCCGUAAACGUUGGGAACUAGUUGUGGGGUCCAUUCCACGGAUUCCGUGACGCAGCUAACGCAUUAAGUUCCCCGCCUGGGGAGUACGGCC